CUUCAGCCGCACCGGCUACUGUAACCCGACCCCACAUCGGGCGCGUCUUUAACCGUCAAACUCGAGGACGACUAACAAUCACGAAAAUGACAAUUCCGUUCGAAAAAACUCAUCCCAAUCACAAAUCUCAUUAAAAUAUCCAUCUCGAUCUAAAAUUUAGUUCAGUUACAAAAUUCUAUCAUUUUGGAAGUGGUGCGUUUGUUGUAUAAAUUAGGAUUAAGUGGCUUAAAUUGGUACGUGUGCGGUGCUCGCCUGUUGGAGUGUUUCCCAAAUUAAGAUUCUCGCCGACGUCCCGAGCAUCUGUGCGAAAUUUGCUGAUUCAACGUCCCCUCCCCCUCUUCCAUUUCACGUGGACGGAUGACAGUACGG